CCUACGGGUGGCUGCAGUGGGGAAUAUUGGACAAUGGGGGCAACCCUGAUCCAGCCAUGCCGCGUGUGUGAAGAAGGCCCUCGGGUUGUAAAGCACUUUCAGUGAGGAAGAACGCCUGGUGGUUAAUACCCAUCAGGAAAGACAUCACUCACAGAAGAAGCACCGGCUAACUCCGUGCCAGCAGCCGCGGUAAUACGGAGGGUGCGAGCGUUAAUCGGAAUUACUGGGCGUAAAGCGCGCGUAGGUGGCUUGAUAAGCCGGUUGUGAAAGCCCCGGGCUCAACCUGGGAACGGCAUCCGGAACUGUCAAGCUAGAGUGCAGGGGAGGAAGGUAGAAUUCCCGGUGUAGCGGUGAAAUGCGUAGAGAUCGGGAGGAAUACCAGUGGCGAAGGCGGCCUUCUGGACUGACACUGACACUGAGGUGCGAAAGCGUGGGUAGCAAACAGGAUUAGAUACCCUAGUAGUC
rnacentral:rRNA from 1 species